AGUGAACGCUGGCGGUAGGCCUAACACAUGCAAGUCGAACGGCAGCACAGUAAGAGCUUGCUCUUACGGGUGGCGAGUGGCGGACGGGUGAGGAAUACAUCGGAAUCUACUUUUUCGUGGGGGAUAACGUAGGGAAACUUACGCUAAUACCGCAUACGACCUACGGGUGAAAGCAGGGGAUCUUCGGACCUUGCGCGAUUGAAUGAGCCGAUGUCGGAUUAGCUAGUUGGCGGGGUAAAGGCCCACCAAGGCGACGAUCCGUAGCUGGUCUGAGAGGAUGAUCAGCCACACUGGAACUGGGACACGGUCCAGACUCCUGCGGGAGGCAGCAGUGGGGAAUAUUGGACAAGGGGCGCAAGCCUGAUCCAGCCAUACCGCGUGGGUGAAGAAGGCCUUCGGGUUGUAAAGCCCUUUUGUUGGGAAAGAAAAGCAGCAGGUUAAUACCCCGCUGUUCUGACGGUACCCAAAGAAUAAGCACCGGCUAACUUCGUG
rnacentral:rRNA from 1 species